AUGAACGCUAGCUACAGGCUUAACACAUGCAAGUCGAGGGGCAGCAUGGUCUUAGCUUGCUAAGGCCGAUGGCGACCGGCGCACGGGUGAGUAACACGUAUCCAACCUGCCGUCUACUCUUGGACAGCCUUCUGAAAGGAAGAUUAAUACAAGAUGGCAUCAUGAGUCCACAUGUUCACAUGAUUAAAGGUAUUCCGGUAGACGAUGGGGAUGCGUUCCAUUAGAUAGUAGGCGGGGUAACGGCCCACCUAGUCUUCGAUGGAUAGGGGUUCUGAGAGGAAGGUCCCCCACAUUGGAACUGAGACACGGUCCAAACUCCUACGGGAGGCAGCAGUGAGGAAUAUUGGUCAAUGGGCGAGAGCCUGAACCAGCCAAGUAGCGUGAAGGAUGACUGCCCUAUGGGUUGUAAACUUCUUUUAUAAAGGAAUAAAGUCGGGUAUGCAUACCCGUUUGCAUGUACUUUAUGAAUAAGGAUCGGCUAACUCCGUGCCAGCAGCCGCGGUAAUACGGAGGAUCCGAGCGUUAUCCGGAUUUAUUGGGUUUAAAGGGAGCGUAGAUGGAUGUUUAAGUCAGUUGUGAAAGUUUGCGGCUCAACCGUAAAAUUGCAGUUGAUACUGGAUAUCUUGAGUGCAGUUGAGGCAGGCGGAAUUCGUGGUGUAGCGGUGAAAUGCUUAGAUAUCACGAAGAACUCCGAUUGCGAAGGCAGCCUGCUAAGCUGCAACUGACAUUGAGGCUCGAAAGUGUGGGUAUCAAACAGGAUUAGAUACCCUGGUAGUCCACACGGUAAACGAUGAAUACUCGCUGUUUGCGAUAUACAGCAAGCGGCCAAGCGAAAGCGUUAAGUAUUCCACCUGGGGAGUACGCCGGCAACGGUGAAACUCAAAGGAAUUGACGGGGGCCCGCACAAGCGGAGGAACAUGUGGUUUAAUUCGAUGAUACGCGAGGAACCUUACCCGGGCUUAAAUUGCAGAUGAAUUACGGUGAAAGCCGUAAGCCGCAAGGCAUCUGUGAAGGUGCUGCAUGGUUGUCGUCAGCUCGUGCCGUGAGGUGUCGGCUUAAGUGCCAUAACGAGCGCAACCCUUGUUGUCAGUUACUAACAGGUUCCGCUGAGGACUCUGACAAGACUGCCAUCGUAAGAUGUGAGGAAGGUGGGGAUGACGUCAAAUCAGCACGGCCCUUACGUCCGGGGCUACACACGUGUUACAAUGGGGGGUACAGAAGGCAGCUACACGGCGACGUGGUGCUAAUCCCGAAAGCCUCUCUCAGUUCGGAUUGGAGUCUGCAACCCGACUCCAUGAAGCUGGAUUCGCUAGUAAUCGCGCAUCAGCCACGGCGCGGUGAAUACGUUCCCGGGCCUUGUACACACCGCCCGUCACACCAUGGGAGUCAGUAACGCCCGAAGUCAGUGACCCAACCGUAAGGAGGGAGCUGCCGAAGGUGGGACCGAUAACUGGGGUG
rnacentral:rRNA from 1 species